rnacentral:lncRNA from 1 species
GGGCUGGAGGUGACGUCCACAGAAGUAGCCGGCCGGGGGCCGGAGCCAAAUUUCUACAUUCUCCAAGUAGAGGUUGUAGGUGAUGGACAACCAACAGAUAUUGCAAUCUGCAGGGUUUAGCUUCUAAUUGCAGUGAUGCUGGAAGUAACGUGUCCUACACAGUUCUCUUCAGUUGAGACGUGAAGAUGUGUGUUCUGUAGUUCUGCUGAAGUUGCACAGAAAUAUCAAAGAUGGCACCAGGCCCUCCCAUAUGCUCUAUGAAAAUAAAGGGAAUGACUUCCAAGGCUGUGAGAGGUGGCUGAUGAGAGAAGAAAUAGAAGAACCUCGAAAUUAAACUGAUUGGUAAACUA